UAACUCAAGCCUGCAGGCACGUUGGGGCGCGGCGAGCUUUCCGCUUCCUUAUUGCCCCCAGCCUGCCCCGUGCAAGACACCAAGUCAGGGGGCUGCCCCCCUCACGUCGGGAGCAGCCUUUCCCCAACGUAGCCGGGGCCCAGCCAAGUACUUUGCUCAGGGCGGGGUUUGGCCGUUCCCACAGCUCCUCGCCCCGCUGCCGUGGCUGCUGCGAAGGGUUUGGUGUGGCUCUCCUGGCAUGUCCCAACUUGGUUCCCCACCCAGCGCGCUCCUGAGAGCGCCGGGAACUACCUGCGGCCGGCUGCACUUCGCCGCGCUCCGACGUGACUCUCGGGUACAUUUCAUUGGUGCAUGAAUGGAAAUUUAAAAGGUUUGUCAUUAAAUAUUGGUGAAAAUGGAAACAUCAUCUAUGCUUUCAUCUUUACACGAUGAAUGCAGAUCAGACAAUUACAUUGAACCUCAUUACAAGGAAUGGUAUCGUGUAGCUAUUGAUGCUUUAAUUGAAGGAGGUUUAGAAGCCUACCAAGAAUUUCUU
rnacentral:lncRNA from 1 species